GAUGAACGCUGGCGGCGUGCCUAAUACAUGCAAGUCGAGCGAACGGACGAGAAGCUUGCUUCUCUGAUGUUAGCGGCGGACGGGUGAGUAACACGUGGAUAACCUACCUAUAAGACUGGGAUAACUUCGGGAAACCGGAGCUAAUACCGGAUAAUAUUUUGAACCGCAUGGUUCAAAAGUGAAAGACGGUCUUGCUGUCACUUAUAGAUGGAUCCGCGCUGCAUUAGCUAGUUGGUGAGGUAACGGCUUACCAAGGCAACGAUGCAUAGCCGACCUGAGAGGGUGAUCGGCCACACUGGAACUGAGACACGGUCCAGACUCCUACGGGAGGCAGCAGUAGGGAAUCUUCCGCAAUGGGCGAAAGCCUGACGGAGCAACGCCGCGUGAGUGAUGAAGGUCUUCGGAUCGUAAAACUCUGUUAUUAGGGAAGAACAUAUGUGUAAGUAACUGUGCACAUCUUGACGGUACCUAAUCAGAAAGCCACGGCUAACUACGUGCCAGCAGCCGCGGUAAUACGUAGGUGGCAAGCGUUAUCCGGAAUUAUUGGGCGUAAAGCGCGCGUAGGCGGUUUUUUAAGUCUGAUGUGAAAGCCCACGGCUCAACCGUGGAGGGUCAUUGGAAACUGGAAAACUUGAGUGCAGAAGAGGAAAGUGGAAUUCCAUGUGUAGCGGUGAAAUGCGCAGAGAUAUGGAGGAACACCAGUGGCGAAGGCGACUUUCUGGUCUGUAACUGACGCUGAUGUGCGAAAGCGUGGGGAUCAAACAGGAUUAGAUACCCUGGUAGUCCACGCCGUAAACGAUGAGUGCUAAGUGUUAGGGGGUUUCCGCCCCUUAGUGCUGCAGCUAACGCAUUAAGCACUCCGCCUGGGGAGUACGACCGCAAGGUUGAAACUCAAAGGAAUUGACGGGGACCCGCACAAGCGGUGGAGCAUGUGGUUUAAUUCGAAGCAACGCGAAGAACCUUACCAAAUCUUGACAUCCUUUGACAACUCUAGAGAUAGAGCCUUCCCCUUCGGGGGACAAAGUGACAGGUGGUGCAUGGUUGUCGUCAGCUCGUGUCGUGAGAUGUUGGGUUAAGUCCCGCAACGAGCGCAACCCUUAAGCUUAGUUGCCAUCAUUAAGUUGGGCACUCUAAGUUGACUGCCGGUGACAAACCGGAGGAAGGUGGGGAUGACGUCUAAUCAUCAUGCCCCUUAUGAUUUGGGCUACACACGUGCUACAAUGGACAAUACAAAGGGCAGCGAAACCGCGAGGUCAAGCAAAUCCCAUAAAGUUGUUCUCAGUUCGGAUUGUAGUCUGCAACUCGACUACAUGAAGCUGGAAUCGCUAGUAAUCGUAGAUCAGCAUGCUACGGUGAAUACGUUCCCGGGUCU
rnacentral:rRNA from 1 species